GGUAGCAGCUUUUCCACCUUGUAGCCUCUUGACAAAUCUCAGACGUUAAGCAAGGCUGGGCCUGGACAGUACUGGGAUAGGACAACUAGCAGAAAAAGCUGGAUCCUGCUGUAA
rnacentral:rRNA from 1 species